GAUUAUUGGGCUCUAAAAUAUGCACACAUCGCCCGUCGCUCUCAUGAUAAAGUGAGAAAAGUCGUAACAUAGUAGAUGUAUUGGAAAAUGUAUCUAGAAAGUCA
rnacentral:rRNA from 1 species